AACUUUCGACAACGGAUCACUUGGCUCUCCCAUCGAUGAAGAACGCAGCGAAAUGCGAUAAGUAAUGUGAAUUGCAAAAUUCAGUGAAUCAUCGAAUCUUUGAACGCACCUUGCGCCCUUUGGUAUUCCGAAGGGCAUGCCUGUUUGAGUGUCAUUAAAUUCUCAACCUUGCAAGAUUUUUUCUUCUUGUGAGGCUUGGAUGUGAGGGUUUUUGCUGGCUUCCUUUAUCAGGAUGGUCUGCUCCCUUUAAAUUCGUUAGUGGGAUCCUUUGUGGAUGGUCACUUGGUGUGAUAAUUAUCUACGCCACCUGACUUUGAAACAAGACUUGUGGGAACCUGCUCAUAACCGUCUCUUCAGAGACAAUCUAUAUUGACAAUUUGACCUCAAAUCAGGUAGGACUACCCGCUGAACUUAAGCAUAUCAAUAAGCGGAGGCU
rnacentral:misc_RNA from 1 species